CUGUGCCUACUGGUUGCUGAGUGUUCACCUGGACCUUCUGACACCUUUCUUCUGCUCGACCAUCAGCCUACACACCUGGUACCUGGAUUUUUGCUCAUGGUGAUUCCUGCCAUCUUACUACUGAAGAAGGCAUCAUUCUAGUGGACACUGUUACCCAAGAGGCAUUUAUCCAUCAUGAUGUGGCCUUUACCUCCACUCAUUUCCUGUUGUACCCAGAGUCAGCACAGCCCUUUU
ensembl:misc_RNA